rnacentral:tRNA from 1 species
GGCUGGGCGGUUUAAGUGGGUGGCUAAUUUUCGUAAUUCAUUGAUUUAUAAAGAUAUGUGACGGCCUGCAAAGCCGUUUAGGCCGGUUCGACUCCGGCUCGCGCCUCCA